CAAUAGCGUAUAUUAAAGUUGUUGCAGUUAAAAAGCUCGUAGUUGGAUUUCUGGUGGGAGCGAUCGGUCUGGCGCUUAGCGCGAGUACUUGCAUCGUCUCCGGCCAUCCUUGGGGAGAGUCUGUCUGGCAUUAGGUUGUCGGGCAGAGGAUCCUCAUCGUUUACCGUGAAAAAAUUAGAGUGUUCAAAGCAGGCUUAUGCCGUUGAAUAUAUUAGCAUGGAAUAAUAAGAUAGGACUUUGGUACUAUUUUGUUGGUUUGCGCACCAAAGUAAUGAUUAAUAGGGACAGUUGGGGGUAUUCGUAUUCCGUUGUCGGAGGUGAAAUUCUUGGAUUUACGGAAGACGAACUACUGCGAAAGCAUUUACCAAGGAUGUUUUCAUUAA
rnacentral:rRNA from 1 species